UUGAAAGUUGAAAGGAAAGAGACUUGAUGGGUUCCUCCUCCUCUGCAGACCCCACAUAACCCAAAUAGCCUAUCCCUUUUAUAAUCAACCAUUUUUAUUCUCCAUUUGUUCUCUGGGUUAUCUUCAUUUCAUUUUAUAUUCCCCAACAACUGUUUACAAUAAUGUGUGAUUUUUUUUCUUCAUAACAGACCCCACAAACCCAAACAAAACACGUUUUUUUGUCUAUCUUAAUAUUCUUUGAUAAGAAAAAAGUCAUUGUAUAAUCAAGGCAAAAAGUUUCCUAGUCCUUUGCUUGAUACGGUUGAAUUGAUUUUUGGGGUUGUAAUAUUGUUCCCUUCUUGCCUUGCAGUCUUUCUUUGAUCAUUUCUUCUGUAUUGGGUUUUGGGUUGUUCCAAUCUUGUCUAAUUUUCUUUCUUCUAUAUAAUAAGGUUUCCUUUUUUUUAUUUUUAUUUUAUCUUCAUUUUUUUCUGACACAACCCAAUUCUAUUCCCAGACCAAAAUCCUUGUUUGGCUGUCUUGGUAUUAGGGUUUGUUUUUUACCUUGUUGGCCCUAUAUGUCUCACGGGUUUGAAUAAAAACCCCCAUUUUGGGCAAAACAAUGCUGCAAUUUUAGACCUUGAUUGAUCUUCCUGUCUCGUUCAGUAAUUUUUACAAACAGUUGGUGUGCAACUUUGGUUGGUUCUUGAAUUUGUCUUGAGAUAUGGGUUGUGUUCAUGGAAAGUGUUGUUGUAGAUACCCAAGAUCCUCAGAUGGUGAGAAUAGAGAAGAUUUGGGUGCAUAUGCUCAGGUUCAAACACAUAUUCUUGCUGGAAGGUCUGUAGAUAGUGCUCAAAUUCCUUCACAUAACUUCAGGUUAGAAUAUUCUGUGCUUACACAACGCGGUUUUUACCCUGAAUCCCCUGAGAAAGAAAAUCAGGAUAGUUAUUGUAUCAAAACACAAAUUCAGGGCAACCCAAAUGUUCAUUUCUUUGGUGUGUUUGAUGGGCAUGGACAGUUUGGUACUGAAUGUUCUGUGUUUGUUAGAGAUAGACUUGUUGAGAUUUUAUCGGAUGAUCCGACGUUGUUGGAUGACCCUGUUAAGGCUUAUAAUUCUGCAUUUACAAGAACAAAUGAAGAACUUCAUAAUAACAGUGAUAUUGAUGAUUCAAUGAGUGGGACAACUGCUAUAACUGCUCUUCUUGUUGGAGACAUGUUGUAUGUUGCAAAUGUAGGUGAUUCAAGAGCAGUAUUGGCUGUUAAAGAAGGUAAUAGAGUUGUUGCUAAAGAUUUGUCUUCUGAUCAGACGCCGUUUAGGAAAGACGAAUGCGAGAGAGUGAAAAGCUGUGGGGCAAGAGUUCUUAGUGUUGACCAAGUUGAAGGUCUAAAGGAUCCUGAUAUUCAGUCAUGGGGGGAUGAGGAAACGGAAGGAGGUGAUCCACCAAGGUUGUGGGUACAAAAUGGGAUGUAUCCAGGGACUGCUUUUACGCGGAGCGUUGGAGAUAGUACAGCUGAAAGCAUUGGUGUAGUUGCUGUCCCAGAGGUGUCAACAGUACGUCUUACAACUCAUCAUCCUUUCUUUGUAGUUGCAAGUGAUGGUGUCUUUGAGUUCCUUUCCAGCCAAACUGUGGUGGACAUGGUAAACAGAUGUGCAGAUCCUAGGGAUGCAAGUUCAGCCAUUGCUGGAGAAUCUUACAAACUGUGGCUAGAUCAUGAAAAUCGGACAGAUGAUAUAACAAUCAUCAUUGUACAUAUUAAAGGCUUAUCCAAUGUGGUGGUGCCACAGCCAAAAGCAAUGGAGGAAGAACAACCAACACACAGAAAGAAACAUCGGAGAUAUAUUUCACUCCGUGUGCUUCGGAAGGUUAUCGGUCAGUAAGGAGUGACUCGUCUGAAGUGAGCUGUUGUCAAACUGUUUCAUCACUAGACCAGAGCUCCAAAGUAGUAGUUUCAUCUAGCUUGGAUUGAACAGAGAUAAGACUUCCAAGGGUUUCCACGCAUUUCCCCAUAUUUUAGAUGUGCCUUAAAUGGUAACUUCCUUCAUUUCCAUAGUCAUCGACGAUUAUGCAGACACAUAACAAGCCAUGCAUAAGUAGAUCCUCAAACUGAUAGCGUAUAUUAUACCCUUCUAGUCUUCUACCACAUUUGACUGAAUAUGACAUAUAGCAGGACCUGAGCGGCAUUCAUAUAGCAGUUGAACCAAUGUCCUUUGGUUGUAAAAGAAUCCGGCAGUUUAUGGAUCUAUUGCCCUCUGAUUUCGAUUGGUCACUACUCACUUCAGUUACUUCUGACUUCGUAUUCUCGUGCAUGGCACAUCAAUAAAGUUUAGCUGGGUUGUUCUGGAGACUGCUUUGCUGGGGGGUUACUUCGUCAAAAGCUUAACACUGAUGCUCAUGUACUUUGUGUACUGUAUUCCAUUUAGACUUUGUCAGUUUUAGAAUGGCAAUAUUUCUAUUACGUCAUUUCAACUUAGCUAAGGAAGAACUUAUUGUUGUAUGAAGUGUCAAACUAGUAUAUCACAUGAAAAUUGGUAUUAAUUGGUUAAAUUUGUAUAGAGAGUGAUCUGUGUUUGAAUCUCUAAUUAACGUGUAAGCGGUUCGGCAGAGCACAUGUA